rnacentral:rRNA from 1 species
ACGGCUCAGUAACACGUGGAUAACCUGCCCUUGGGUCUGGCAUAACCCCGGGAAACUGGGGAUAAUACCGGAUAACGCAUAUAUGCUGGAAUUCUUUAUGCGUGAAAUGGAUUCGUCUGCCCAAGGAUGGGUCUGCGGCCUAUCAGGUAGUAGUGGGUGUAAUGUACCUACUAGCCGACGACGGGUACGGGUUGUGAGAGCAAGAGCCCGGAGAUGGAUUCUGAGACAUGAAUCCAGGCCCUACGGGGCGCGGCAGGCGCGAAAACUUUACAAUGCGGGAAACCGUGAUAAGGGGACACCGAGUGCCAGCAUCAUAUGUUGGCUGUCCGGGUGUGUAAAAUACACCUGUUAGCAAGGGCCGGGCAAGACCGGUGCCAGCCGCCGCGGUAACACCGGCGGCCGGAGUGGUGAUCGUGUUUAUUGGGUCUAAAGGGUCCGUAGCCGGUUUGGUCAGUCCUCCGGGAAAUCUGACGGCUUAACCGUUAGGCUUUCGGGGGAUACUGCCAGACUUGGAACCGGGAGAGGUAAGAGGUACUACAGGGGUAGGAGUGAAAUCUUGUAAUCCCUGUGGGACCACCUGUGGCGAAGGCGUCUUACCAGAACGGGUUCGACGGUGAGGGACGAAAGCUGGGGGCACGAACCGGAUUAGAUACCCGGGUAGUCCCAGCCGUAAACGAUGCUCGCUAGGUGUCAGGCAUGGCGCGACCGUGUCUGGUGCCGCAGGGAAGCCGUGAAGCGAGCCACCUGGGAAGUACGGCCGCAAGGCUGAAACUUAAAGGAAUUGGCGGGGGAGCAC